rnacentral:misc_RNA from 1 species
UAACCACUCAAGCCUCGGCUUGGUCUUGGGGUCCGCGGUCUCGCGGCUCCUAAAUCCAGUGGCGGUGCCGUCUGGCUCUAAGCGUAGUAAUUCUCUCGCUAUAGGGUCCCGGCGGUUGCUUGCCAAAACCCCCCACUUUCUAU